rnacentral:rRNA from 1 species
GGGGGAUAUUGCACAAUGGAGGAAACUCUGAUGCAGCAACGCCGCGUGAGGGAAGAAGGUUUUCGGAUUGUAAACCUCUGUUUUUAGUGAAGAGACAAAUGACGGUAGCUAAAGAGGAAGCCACGGCUAACUACGUGCCAGCAGCCGCGGUAAUACGUAGGUGGCAAGCGUUGUCCGGAAUUACUGGGUGUAAAGGGUGCGCAGGCGGGAUUGCAAGUUGGAUGUGAAAUACCGGGGCUUAACCCCGGAGCUGCAUCCAAAACUGUAGUUCUUGAGUGGAGUAGAGGUAAGCGGAAUUCCGAGUGUAGCGGUGAAAUGCGUAGAUAUUCGGAGGAACACCAGUGGCGAAGGCGGCUUACUGGGCUCUAACUGACGCUGAGGCACGAAAGCAUGGGUAGCAAACAGGAUUAGAUACCCUGGUAGUCCAUGCUGUAAACGAUGAAUGCUAGGUGUGGGGGGACUGACCCCUUCCGUGCCGGAGUAAACACAAUAAGCAUUCCACCUGGGGAGUACGACCGCAAGGUUGAAACUCAAAGGAAUUGACGGGGGCCCGCACAAGCAGUGGAGUAUGUGGUUUAAUUCGAAGCAACGCGAAGAACCUUACCAGGUCUUGACAUCCGGCUAACGAAGUANAGAUACAUUAGGUGCCCUUCGGGGAAAGCCAAGACAGGUGGUGCAUGGUUGUCGUCAGCUCGUGUCGUGAGAUGUUGGGGUUAAUUCCCCAACGAGCGCAACCCCUGCCGAUAGUUGCUACGCAAGAGCACUCUAUCGGGACCGCUACCGACAAGGUGGAGGAAGGUGGGG